CGAAACCAAUUUGAAGUUUAUGCAUGAAUUGUUGUAGAGGGGAGAGUCAUUGUAGCUGCAAGUGUUUGUGGGGUUUUGGUGUUUGGAUGUCCACGAGUUUUCUCAGUUGAAGGUGUGGUGGAUGAAGGAUAUGGCGUUAUUGGACAGAGCAUACUUUUGCUUAGGAAUACUUCGCCUAACGUGUUGCAAGUUCUUCGUAUAUUUAAGGAGCAAGGUUUGGUGCUUGUAGUUCUUUUGGACCUUUUCAGCCUUUUUGUCAAUGACAGAGACUUCAAUCACCACACUUUGGCCUUGGAAGGUCAGGCCAGUGGCAUGGCGUUCCCUGGUGUUGUAUCCUGUAAGAAGAAUUGUUACUCAUCUUUCAAUGGGGAUGCUGAAAUUGCUUGGCCUAAAAGAAAGAAAGUCUGCUGAAAAGAUAUCCAAAGAUUAUCAUACUCUUAUCUUUUUCUUUUGCUUCUUUAUGGAUGCUUUGUGAAAUCUAACUUUUAUCAGAAGCUAAAUCUUAGUUCCUUCAUCUCAAAGAUGAUUCUUCUUUUAUGUUCAUCCAAACUCUUUCAUAACUGUUCAUUUUCUAAGGUUAAGUUUUUUCCUCAA